UCCGUCAACCUAACACUAGCUCGACAUGUUGGGCAUGUAUCAGCUCUGAGGAACCAAGUGUCCACACACUUCCUAUGGAACACGUGUCCGCAACCGGGAAGUCUCCGACACCAUCGUCCCUUUCUGAAUCCAUCAAGGCAAACAACGCAUUCGCUUCCGUCUGGUCUGGCUGGUUUGGAAGUUUUGAAUUGGGGAAGCUUCUGCACGAGUGUGGAAGAUAAUCCACCAGAGGGUUCAUCUUGGGGAUCAUCUGGGGGAUCAUCUUGGGGAUCAAGGAAACUAACGUUGGAAAUUGAUCUUAUAAUGCUUAAUACUGAGAAAGAAAGAGACAAAUAUGGUGAAGAGAAGAUGAUGAGAGCAUGCAUCAAAAAUACACAAGAAUUACAUGAACAAGAAAAAAAAUACACAGGAAUUACAUGAACAAGAAAGAAAAAAAGGAGAAGGAAAUUCAAAGGUUUGUGUGUAAGACAACAAGUCACUGGGUCAGAAAUUAUUAACCUCAGAUCAUAUGGGUUGUGUGAUAUGUAAUAGUAGAUUAGGGUUGGUAGUAUAAAUAUGUAAGCAUAUCGUAAGGAAAAGGAUAAUAGAGUGAAAAUUAAUCAGAAAGUGUAUGAGGAAGAUAAUCCACCUGAGGGUUCAUCUUGGGGAUUUGGUAGACUACUGUUGAAUAUUGAUCCUAUGCUUAAUCCUGAGAAAAUAAAGAAACAAAUAUGGUGAAGAGAAGAAGAUGAGCCUAUGAAAAAUACAUAGGAAAACAUGAAGAAGAAGAAGGUCACGUGCAAGGUCAGAAAUGACUAAACCCAAAGCAUAUAUAUGGGACGUAUGUGGUAUCAGUAUGUAAUUAGUAGAUUACGGUUGAUUGUAUGGAAUAAGGAUUAAUAAAAAAGUGUAGGAGGAAGAUAAUCCACCUGGGGGUUCAUCUUGGGGAUUAGGGAGACUACUGUCGAAUAUUGCUCCUAUGCUUAAUCCUGGGAAAAGAAAGAGACAAAUAUGGUGAAGAGAUGAAGAUGAGCCCAUGACAAAUACGUAGGAAACAUGAAUAAGAAGAAGGUCACGUGCAAGGUCAGAAAUGAUUAAACCCAGAGCAUGUAUAUGGGACUUUAUGUAAUAAGUAGAUUAGGGUUGAUUGUAUGGAAUAAGGAUUAAUCAGAAAAUUUAGAAGGAAGAUAAUCCACCUGAGGGUUCGUAUAGGGGCCUGGGGAGAUUACGUCGGUGAAGGAAGAGGAAAAGGAGGAGGCUAAGGGGAAGAAGAAGACCGGCAGUGACGAUUACGAUAAGUGUCAUUGUAAACCAUUUACGAAUAGAAGGGCAGACUUUUCAUUAGAUACAAGAGAUAAUAUAUACGCACAUAAGGCGUGAGAAAACCCUAAGGUGACCAAAACAACUGUAGCAACAAUUAACAAAUAAGAAAACAUACAAUACAUAUAUUGUAAAAAAAAUAUUUUGGACUGCUUCCAGAAUAUAUAAACAAAAAAAUAAAAUAAAUAACAUUUAUCCUUUGUUGUAAAAUAAAAAAUAAAAACCCUAAUAACUACUUAUUUGACCUAAGUCUCGUGGGUUAGAAGUUACAGUUGGAGAUAAUCUGGACUGGCUGUGGAUGAUACAUGGCCGCAACUCCGGCGUCAUUGCUCCCAGAAGCUUUCACAAUGAAACCCAUUGUUCAAGCGCCAUGGUGAGUUUUUUUAAAUCGAACUUCCAGGGCAUGAUCUCUGUAUUAGGGUUUAGCUUUUGUGUUAUGUUCUAUAACCGCUUUCACUAUAUAUAUCCAAUAUUCGAACCUACGUCUUCCCAUCGUUGUAAUAUCUCUUGAUGAUUCACCGUGCAUGUGCUUCUUCUUCUACUAGUUGUCGAUGCAGUGUUAAGGCUAGAGAAAAUCAUGGAUCAAAGAACAAGUGCACUAAAGGAUUGUGGGAUCUAAAUAUUCCCUCAGAGCUCUUGGAGGAGAUACUAUCCCGCCUCGGAGUAAAAGACAACAUAAAAGCUUCCGCUGUCUGCAAGGCAUGGUGUGAAGCAGCUGCUUAUGUCAGAAAGUUCAACCCGCUUUUCUAUGGAUCAAAAGAGGGAGACUAUGGUGAUUGGUUUUUGUUUUAGUUUUUGGUUUUUAUUUUUUUCAAAAUCACUUUUUUAAAUUAAGUUUUAGUUUUUAGUUUUUAGUUUUUAUUUUUGUAAAAAUUAUUUAAUUUGCCAAUCACGAUUUAUAACAAAUAACUUCCCUAAACUUAGAAUAACUAGUUUUUCAAAAUUUUAACUAAUUUAUGAACUUACCCAAUAAGUGGCGCUUUUUACCCAGCCAAAUGCGUAGCUUUCUCAGCCGCUCCUACAUCAACUAGUUGCUUGGUGGUCUCCUUCAGCCAAUUAGGUUACAAAGAUUCUUUGUGAUCGCUACUUGGUGACCUGGUGAGACCGUAUGGACCAUCUAUAAACAAAAAUACACAGAGAAGAGAAUCUAUCAUUUCGUAAUAAUACUAGAAAUGAUAAAAAUAAAUUAAAUAUAAAUUAAACUUAACUUCGCCAGUGUGAACACGUUUAUACUAAUCACUAAGACCAUCUUUAACCCUAUAACCCCAUAUGGAUUUCUUAAUAAUUUUUAAUUAAUUAAAUAUACUUUAAUUGUACUUAAAAACUCUAGUUAAGAAACCUUUAAAAUGUGUGCUCCAGUGGUAGUUUCUUAAUUAGGAUUCUUAAAAAAAUUUAAGUUGUGUUGUUAAGCUUGUGUUGCAAGCAAUUGGAGUUUAUGAUGCCUCCAAGUAAUAUAUAUAUAUAUAUAUAUAUAUAUAUAUAUAUAAUAUAUAUAUAUAUAUAUAUAUAUAUAAAUACAGGAGAGGUGGAAGCUGAGGCUGAAAACAAUAGAAGAUGGCUUGAAGGGUACAAACACGUUUUCUAUCUGGCAAACGACUACAAAGACUGAAAAAACUGGCAAGAUUUUAGGAUUCUUGACGAGUGGCGGUGGAGGAUCAAAGAAAAGGUCUAGUUCUCAGCCACGAGGCUCAGUUACAGGAAGAAUCCAUGCUAUGAAUCAGCCGAGCAACAGAGCUGCAGAGACUGAUGGAAAAGAGAACUCAAAGAUUUCAGCAAACGGUUUCAGGGUUUUUGUAUGACAGGCUUCAGAAGGAACCAUAUAGAAGAAAAAAAUGAAAGGCAUGUCUUUUUACAUGGUACUCAGUGUAAGGUGAUGUUGCCUGCUGUGUAGAAGCGCAAGCCGUUUGAGGAUGAAACGAGUUUGAUACCUUUGUAAAUCUUGUGAGAGCAUCGGCACGGUUUAGGAACAGAGAGGGGUUUGAUGGAACAAGCCUUCUCUAGGUCAGGAAUUGCGUGUAGGUGAGAAGGAAGAUCGAUGUUGAACUGUGACAGCUUUGAUCACUUUGGAUCUACUCCUAUGUCCAGUAUGGCACAUGAUACCAACGGUAGCACCUGCAUGACAGAUGAUGAUGUGUUAAAGACCUGUAUAAGGGAUAUGAACUAGUUUUCCAGUACGUACCAGAGAUACGGUCGGCUGAGGAAGAGAGAAGAGAGGCGGUGAGGAUGACGGAGGAGAGUUUGAUGUCUUAGCCUGUGCCACAGCACCCUCAAGCACGAAGAUGCAGAUCUACUUGCUUCAACAGCUCUUCUUGCGUCCGUUUCUUCCUCAAAGCCGAGAAAGCCUUCUCCUUUCCAUGUUCCCGGAUUAAUUCUCUUGCUCCUUCCUUCUCAGCUUCAAUUACUUUCUCAACCUAAUUUACAAAAAGUUAUGAAGGUGGGUUAAAAUGGAAUAAGCCAAGAACUCAAAAGCUUGAGCCUUUUGUUGUCAUCAGUACUAAAUAACAAUCAAAACCAUUUAUAACAACAUAGGCUUAUUCUAUCGAAUGAAACAAAACUUCAAAUGGUUAAACCUAUAUGAUCACAGUUCAUAUAGAAAGGAGAUAAGAUUGGAUCAAACAAUACCUUUGUUUCAACCUUGGAGGUGCGAAGGAGAGCUUGGAGGUGCAAAGGAAAGCCAAUUGAACAAACAAUACGUUUGUUUCAACCUUGGAGGUGCGUAGGAGAGAACGACAGCCAUCGUCGUCUUGCGGAGACAACGGGGGAAGCGGCGGAGAAGCCGAGUGAAACCAAAGAAAAGAAAAAGAGAAAAGAAUAAUAGAAAAAUAUAUGCUUUGUCUUUCGUUAGCUGACACGUGGAGGAAAAACCUCUUUAGUUAUCGAUCACAAAAAUCCUUUCUUAAGGAUCGAUAACUCCCCUUUUAUUUAGUUUUCAUUUAAUUAAAUACCCAAUUAACUUUAAAACCCCAUUUAAAAUCCCCCGUUAAAGAUGCUCUAAGAGCAUCCGCAAUAGGAAUCCUUAAGAAGGAGUCCUUAGAAAAAAAAAAAUUAAAUAAUCGAUGGACUCCACUAAAAGUUAAGGAUUCAUUCCUUAAAAUUCUUAGAUAAUGACUCUUUCUUAGUGAAUCCUUGCACUAUUUGCGGAUCCCGACAACAUGUGGUGACCCGCGAUUAGUUGAUAUUUAUUUAUUUUUUAUCUAAUAAAGAAAAAAAAAUAAUACUAAAAAAAUCAAAAUACACUUUUUCUAAGGACUCCCUUUGAGUAACACUAUUGCGGGUGCUCUAAUAAGACUAUCUCCAACAAGACAUCAAAUUUGGUGUGAUUUUAUCUCCAACAAAACAUCAAAUUUAACACUAUCCCACCAAAUUUGGUGUAAUGUAAAUAGUGUUAUACCAAUCAUCACACUAAAUCCUUAAAAUACAUAUUUUAAUAUGUUUCAUUUAAAAAUAUAGUUUAAUUACUAUCAAAGUUGUAGUUAAACAUAAAUAUAUUGUAUUGUUUUUAUUUUAAAUUUAUUUUUCACAUUUGAUGUAAUAAUAUUCAUUACACAAAAUUUCUAAAAUAUAUUUUAGUAUGUUUCAUAUAAUAAUAUAGAUCAAAUACUAUCAAAUUUGUAAUUAAACAUAAAUAAUAUUAUAUUAUUUGUAUUUUUAAUUUAUUUUCAUAUAAUUAAAAAUUUAAUUUUUAUUAUUUUAUUCAAAAUAAAUUAGUAAAUAACUAUUAUUAUUUAUCACUUACAAAUAAUAAAAAUAUAAAAUUUUUAAAACUGAAAACAUCAAAUAAUAUAUAAUAUUACUUUUGGUGUAAGAUUUGGUGUUAUUGUUAGAGAUGACAAAACAAAAAUUGACACCAAAACACUAAAUUUGGUGUAAAUUCAACACUAAAUUUUGUGUCAUUGUUGGAAAUGUCCUAAGUGUUGGGUUAUAACAUGUUGUGUUAUUAUAGAUGAAAAAUAUAUAAUAUACUUGUGUUUUAUAUUAUUAAGGUAAAUCAUUUCGUAACAAUAAUACUAUUAAAAACAAUUAAAAUAAAUUAAAUAUAAAUUAAACUUCACUUAACUUCGCUGAUGUGAACACGUUUAUACUAAUAACAUGUUGUGUUAUUAACUUAUUAUAGGUGAAAAAUAUAUAAUUGUGUUUAUAUUUAAGGUAAAUCUUAUCGAAAACCCUGAAGAAAUUUUUUGACCAAAAUAGUCCAUAAAUAAAAAGAUACCAAAAUAAGUUUAUUAAAGAACAAAAAAAAUUAAAGUACCAUUUAAUGAUAUACGUCUAAUAUAAAUAAGUAUUUUUAUUUUUAUUUUUAAUAUUGUCCAAAAGACAGUCGUAUAUAUAUUACUCACCGGUAGAUUCGAUGGUUGGAUCUACGGAGUUGAUAGGAAGCGGUGGUGACGCAUUGGCCUCGUGACACGUGUACCUUCGACGGUGAGGAUGGCAACACGUGUCCAAGCAUCAAAAAUGGGAUCUGCGAGGCGGCCGAAUCUACCUUCUUUAGGUUUUUAGGGUUUCUCAAGUUGGGCCGUAGGUCUAGUCUCAAUUGAGGAUCGGGGUUGUCCGUUUGGUUUGUUGGGCUUUAGUGUGAGUUUUUGUACUGGGUUUGGCCCGUUUUAUUAAUCAAAAUCAUCCGGUUGGAAAAAAAAAAUAUUACUCACCUAAUAGUAACACAACAGUUGUUCAAAAACAAAAGUAAGUAACACAACAAUCCCGAAAUUAUUAUUAUUUAAUAAUAUCUGAAGGUUAAAAAUUAAGUUGUGUCCAUUGACACUGAAGACAUUGGGCCGAGAUUAGGUUAAGCCCGUGAGCCCAAAAGCUAAAAAAAGGGAAAAAACCGGUUCAAAUUGAAACCCUCGAUUUCGCUAAAGCUUUGUUCCAAUUUGUGAUUCGGUGGAGGAAGGAGGAGGACGAAAAGAGUGUUUUCCAGUCACUGCGAAAAUUCAUCAACCUUGUCGUCUCUCUCCCCCUAUCUACUUCUUCCCUUUCUUUCCGCGAGGUAUCUUCUCGAUUUCUUUUCCGAAUUCGCAAUUUUUUUAUAUAUCUGUAAUGAAUCCGAAAUUCGCGAAUAGAGGUUUUGUAAAAUCGUAUUCUUUUGUUAUAAAUCUGAAAUUGACUGCGUAAAUAGACAUUUUUUCAUUUCAAUUUCGUUGUUUGUUAUUAACCCCUCGUCGAAAUUUUGAGUCUUUAUUGGCAUAUGCUUACUACUGUUAAAAUGAAAUUUGAGCAUUGGUUUAUAAUGAAGUUUAGAGAUGUGAGAAGUCAAGAAGGCAAAGGUGCAACCUUUUUGCGUUUUCUUGAAAAUUGCUUUGUUAUGCCUUCACUUGUCUCUUUGCUUUUGAGUUUUCCUCUUUGUUGACACUUGAACUAUGCUAUAUUUCUUGUUUGUAUAAAACACUGAUACUGCUGAAACGCUUCUCCAUCUCUAUUUCAAUCUAGAUCAGUAAACCAAAAGCUAAGUUAGAACCAGACUUAUCUUGUAGAUUUGUUGAAUUUAUCUCCCCUACUAAGGCCAAUGAUCAAUAAACCCAUUUUAAGAUGUUCUCCUUAGCUCCAACUUGUUUGUACUUCUCUAGUGUGUACCAGAUUUACCUUUUCUGUUUUGGGGUGUCUCUAAAUUAUUAGCUUCAAGGCAACCUGUGUUCAUUUCUUUUGUUUCUAUGCAAUUCGUAUUUGAUAAAAUUAUUGUAUCCGUGAAUUGGUAUAGGUAUGCUGUUAUAAUGGAUUCGGCAUUGGAGAAUAUAACAGAAAUGGAGAAUGAGAGAGUUGAACAGGGCACAGACAAGGAAAUUGAGACUAAAGAGCAAACUCAGGAUAACGUUGUGGAAACCAAUAAGGAGACUGAGACUGACGAGCAAACUCAGGAUACUGUUAUGGAAACCAAUAACGGAAUGGAGACUGAAGAACAAAGUCAGGAUACUGUUAUGGAAACCGAGGAUAAGAAUCCAGGAGAGACAGUCGGAGAGGAAGAUCCAGUAAGCGAACUUAAGGAUCCUCCUUCUCCCAUGAUCACUGAAAAGGAGGCCGACGAUGAUGAUGAUGUACCAAAGAUUGAUGGUGAGAAGAAUACCCAAUUAGAGACUAGCCCGCAUCUAAGUCCUCCUUCAGUGGCUCUAGAUCCUGAAGAAGGGUUAAGCAAAGACAAUGUUGAACGGAACAUUGGGUCCAGCGAAGUAAGUUCGGGUGUCUUGAAAAAUGACACAGAUUCUGUCAUGGUUGACAAAUAUACUCCAGUAGUCCAUGACGAAACGGCUACAGUAACUUAUAGCAAACUCUCAGAGGAAAAAGGAUCGCCACAUCAUCAUGCUAAUACUGUGACGGAUCAGGACAAAGCUACAGAAGAGCAGGACAUGGCAUCCUCAGGAGAGUUGAACGUGAUUACAGUCACUCCUGAUACCAAACUCUUGGAGGACAAAGGAUCACCCCUUCAUCAUGCUGAUACUGUGAUGGAUCAUGACAAACCUGCAGAAGAGCAUGACAUGGCAUCCUCAGGAAACUUUAACGAGAUUACGGUCACUCCUGAUACCAAACUCUCGGAGGACAAUGGAUCACCCCUUCAUCAUGCUACUGUAAUGGAGCAGGACAAACCUGCGGUAGAAGUAGAACAUAACAUGGCAUACUCAGGAGACCAAAACGAGGUUACAGUCACUCCUGAUACCAAAAUCUCGGAGGGAAAAGAAUCUCCGCAUCGUCAUCCCAAUUCUGUGAUGGAGCAGGAUAAUCCUGCGGAAGAACAUAACAUGGCAUCCUCAGAAGACCAUAACGAGAUUACAGUCACUCCUGAUACCAAACUCUCGGAGGACAAAGGAUCACCGCUUCAUCAUGCUGAUACUGUAAUGGAGCAGGACAAACCUGCAGAAGAACAUAACAUGAUAUCCUCAGAAGAUCAUAACGAGUCUCCAGUAACUACUGACACCAAAGAUGUUGAGGAGAACAAUGAAAGGCUAGACAAGGGCGAGGCUAACAAUAUGAACUUGGCUGACCAUGUAAGUGAGCCAGUGGAUCAUGAUGAAGGAACCACAACGGAGAAUGAAAAAGAGCCAGAUGUGCCUGUUUCUGAGACCGAAUCAAAUCUGGAGAAUAAGCCAUCCGAGCCUCUCGUAGAAACCUCAGUGAACGUGGAAAAAGAGCCAGACAUGCCUGCCACUGAAAAUUUGACAGAAAAUGACCAAAACUCUGAUGUGUUGGCUGCUGUAGUUUCGGGAGACAGUGACAAAGGGUUAUCUCUCUUGCCCGCUACCCAGACUUCACCUAACCAUAACGAAGGAGUUGCUACACUUGAGGCUGAACGUAUGGAAGACAUGGAAGUCGACGUCCCUGAUUCUAUUUUGGUUACUGAUGCUAGUAUUGACCCUCCAAAUAACAACGAUGUCAAUGCCAAGGCUCCUACUAAUGCUGAAAAUAAAGAUUCUUCUAUAGUAUUAGUACCUGAGGGAAAUGAUGCUGAUAAUGAGAGUGCGUCAGUGAGACGUGAACCUGGUCCUCCAUGUGUUGCAUCUUCUGAUACGAAGUCUGAAGUGGGGGCAAGUGGUGGUUUGAAUAAUGGGGUCCAUCAGAUAGGUCAGCCAUCACCUGGUUUGGAUAGGCCCAUGAGCCCAAAACGCUCUUUCCUGUUGGAUGAUUCGUCGGAGGGCUAUGAAUCUGGAACGGAGGAGGAUCAAGCUGCUUUUAUGAAAGAACUGGGUCACUUCUUUAGAGAGAGAAACAUGGACUUCAAACCUCCAAAGUUUUAUGGAGAGGGACUAAACUGCCUUAAGUAAGCUUUCUCCCCCACCCAUCUUAUUGUGUUUUAACAAUUUCAGUUGAAGCUGAUGUUUUCAUUCAUUUUCUUUGGCGCAAGGUUGUGGAGAGCUGUAAUUAGAUUGGGGGGUUAUGACAAGGUACGCCCCCACUGUCAAUGCGCCUGAUGAACGAUAUAGCAUCUUUGUUGACGAGAAAAUUUGGCCUUUGCAUUUCGUUCAUGAUUAAAAUUAUACUUUAUUUUGAAUAGGUUACUGGAUGCAAACUAUGGCGGCAAGUAGGAGAGUCUUUCAGGCCCCCAAAGUAAGAAGAAUUUUGUCCUUUACCAUUGGCCUUGUUCUUUUCUUAUUAGUUGAUUUUAUCUGCAUAUUACCAAGAGUUUGUUCAAAUUAGUUGCUCCAUUUACUUGGCCAGGACAUGUACAACAGUGUCAUGGACUUUCCGAGGUUUCUACGAAAAGGUGAGAGAUUAUAUAUAUGUCCACCCUCUUUGUUGAUCUCCAUUCUCUGCUUUUUUCCCAAAUAACGUGGCUCUAUGCUUCAGCUCCCUCUUUGAGAUAAUUUAAAUGAUUGAACAAAGAGCAAGUGUGAAUCCUCUGGAGAUAUAUUUCCUUAAUAUCCAUUAACAUCUUGUAACCUUAUUUAUGUUAAUAUCGUUUCUUAUUUUAUUUUUUUCAGGCUCUUCUUGAAUAUGAGCGGCAUAAAGUCCACGUGGGUGAAGUACAGAUACCACUUGCUAUUGAACCAGAACCAAUGAAUAUUGAUAAUCAGGUAAGUUUCUUGAACAUUAUAUCAUGCGUCUGUAGUUUUCUGUUUGAUCUUUUUAUGCUUAUUUUUUUGUGUGUUUAUAACUUAACCUGCGGUCAUGUAGGCUUCUGGAUCUGGUAGAGCGAGGAGAGACGCAGCAGCACGUGCUAUGCAAGGUUGGAAUUCACAGCGUCUUAAUGGGAACGGUGAAGUUAAUGAUGACCCUGCAUUUAAGGUCCGACAGAAUCUUGUAUUCUUUCAACUCUACACCUUUGUUGUUGUCAUUAUCUUCUGAACCGCACGCUAUUUUGUAACUGUAGGAUAAGAAUUUAGUUCUUCAUCAAAAGCGCGAAAAACAGAUAGGAACAUCCCCUGGUAUGAGUUCUGUUCGAUGAAGAAGUUUUUGUAUAUCAUUUGUAUUAUUGAAGCUUUGACUCAGUUUAUUACUAACAUUCUCACAAUGUCAUCAGGUUUGCUUAAACGCAAGAGGCUAUCGUCUACUGAACAUGUUGCAAAACAUUCCAUCCAAGUGUCUAAUCCUAUGUAUGGUUAUUAGUUUUGUACUCUUGAGUUUUUUGGGAGAUGAUACUUCACAUUUGAAUCCUGAUUCCGUUUUGUUCAUCUUCUUAGGUUGGAUGUGACAGUUGUUGAUGUUGGACCACCAGCUGACUGGGUAAAGAUUAACGUACAGAGGACGGUAUGUUACUUUCUUGAAAAUCUGAGAAAUUAGUUUUUAUAUUAUAUUAAUUAGUAUUCUCUUCUAAUAUCCGCAGCAAGAUUGCUUUGAGGUGUAUGCAUUAGUCCCAGGACUAGUCCGUGAAGAGGUUUAGCUCUCUCACUCACACACUUGGAACAGAAUCUGUGUACUUCUCUGUUUUGGUUACGUAUCAACAACUUAUCUUGGCAAAUAAUAACACAGGUCCGAGUCCAAUCAGAUCCGGCAGGGCGGUUGGUAAUAAGUGGCGAACCGGAGAACCCUAUGAAUCCCUGGGGAGCUACUCCUUUCAAGAAGGUAAUGCUCCUUAGGCAAAUUCAACACUUAUAUAUAGAUUGUUGAGUGACAUUUUUGUUAAAUUUCUCUUGAAUUGUAUGUAGGUCGUGAGUUUACCGACAAGAAUUGAUCCUCAUCAUACAUCGGCUGUGGUGACCCUGAACGGCCAGUUGUUCGUCCGUGUGCCACUCGAGCAAUCUGAUUAGAAACAUUUUUACAGUUUAACAAAGCCUUGAAGAAGAUCCAAGAGAGAAGGGAGAAGAAUGUUUAGAAGUAGUUGUGAGGAUCUUUUGUCUGUAUAUUAUCAUAUGAUUGAGAGCAUAACACAACCUGAGAACCCACUUUAGGAUAACUUUAAUUAGGUCAUCUAGUUUAUCAUCUCUGUUCUCUUUGAUUAAAUUCUUAAAAAUCAACAUUUAUAUGUACCACAAGUUCUUUAAACAUUUUCUAUUAAGAAACACAAAUCUACAACCUUUUUAGUAUUUGUCUUCUCAUUUACAUUUGGUCUCACGUCUUUGUGUUUGUGGUAGUCUCCAUAAGAAAGCCUUGAUCAUGUUUGGUCUUCUAUUUGCUAAAAUGUUAACGAGUGUUAUCUGCAUGAUCAUUAAGGCAACCUUAUCAUUUAUCAACGAUAACAUCUAGAUAUCCAGAAGCACAAGGAUUUCUAAAACUGACAUGAUUACAAUUAGAUUCAUGCAAUUCAAACAUCUUACAUGGUGACAGGUCUGAGGGCCCAGUCGACACCAUUGGUAGCAUGACCCAUCAACUAGAGCAGGAAGAUCACUCGAUCAUCGCAAAUUGAAAAGCAUAUAUGAUCCAUGUAUGAUACAAUCCAUCUCUUAUGAUGGUAUCAAAACUUAAUGAUGCAUAUUAAUUUAUACUCAUAUGACAGUAGACUAAAGACAAGAGCUCCUGGUUUAUUAACAAAUAGAGCAGGAGAAUUCAAUACGACAGAUUAUUUCAUUUUACCUAUCAUUCGGUAGAGCUAAACACGAACACGAAAUCAGGGACGGCUCAGUGGGAGGACAAGCGGUGCGAUCGCUCCGGGCCCAAACCUGUGUGCCCCCCGUAUAAAAAUAAUUAAGAGGUCCAAUUUUUUUAUAAAUCUAUAUUUUUAUAUAUAAAAAAUUAUAAAUAUAAUAAAUCAAAAUAAAAAGGGCCGAGAAUUAUUUGAUAUGUAUAUAGUUUUAUUUUCAUUACAAAUAUAUACAAAAUAUUACAUAUUAAAUUUUAUAUAUAUUUUAAACAUUAUAUGUAUAUAAAUUUUAGAGGGUAAAUUUUUUUUUUGCCAUGGCUCCCUAAGAAUGUUGAGCCGGUCCUGCACGAAAUCAUCCAAAUUGAACAGAAACCAAAUUAAUAGUUUGCUAAAUCUGGUUAAGGACAUCAUUUUGAUUUGUUAAAACUUAAAAGUUUGUACUGUAUUUUCUUGAGAAAAAGACUAGGAUAACAUUAAACCAAGUUUUUGUUCCCAAACUAGCACUCAAGUCUCAAAAUCACAAAAAUAGGUUUUAUUAAAGAGGUAAAUAUACACUUAUAUUCAUUGGGUUAAUUAAUCCAAACCUUAGGGUUUUGAAUUAUAAAAAGAAAAUUUGAAAAAAAAAAAUUCGAAAAAAAAAUUUCAGAAAAAAAAUUAUAAAAAAUUUCGAAUCUAAAAACAUAUAAUCUGAAAUUAUAAAUUUUUUUUUCAUUUUUAUUUUAUUUGUUUUUAUUUUUUUUUGUUUGUUUAUUUAAUUUUAAACCAAAUAUAUUAAAGAUAUUUUACCAUUUAAUUUUGUUAUUUUGUGACUUUCUAUUUUAGUGCCAUUUUUGAGACAAAAACUUGUGACAAUUGCCCUAUUUUCUUUUGUUAGGACUUAUGAUUGUUGAAGAUAAUUAAAUUUUCAUCAGUUUAGUGCUGAAGGAUAUAUGUCUUCCUUCAAAUAAAGAAAAGUAUUAUAUCAUUCUGGCUUGUAAGGAAAGGGAUAACCCAAUGUUUAAUACUCAAAACGAUUAUAUUCUUGUUACAUUGAUGUUCCAAAUCGUUGCAUAUAUAACAAUAACUAGGUGAUUUUUCCGUUCUCAUGCACGGUUAUAAAUGUUUUUGAAGUAAAUAUACUAUAAUAAUUGAUUGCUAUUUACUUUUAAAUUUUAAAUUAAUUUAGAAUUUGUAUGCAUCAUUUAUAUUUAUAAUAUUAUAUUACUUUAAUAAUACAUAUGAUUUUAUAUAUGUUAUAUUUAACCGGUUUUGUUGUUUUUACAAUCAAUUUAGUUAUCAUUUGCGUAAUUUGGAUGGCAUCUCUGAAUUCAACUAUAAUAUUUUUAUUCUAAAUAUAUUAAAAUUUUGAUUAAUUUCUUAUUUUCAUUUAGGUGGUUGUUGUCUUAAAUAUGUAAAUAUAUUUUAUGAAGAUUAUGUAUAAGUUCAGAUAUAUUGUGCUUAGAAUAAAAAUAAUAAAAUAAACUAAAGUGUCUGAUUACAAAUUACAUAAAUUAAUAUAACGAUAAUAUUUUCAAGUCUCAUGCAUAUAUAUAAAUUUUAGAAAAGAACUAAAUUGUAACAGUUGUUUAAUAUUUUAUUUUCAUUUUAAUAUGUUUUGAGUUGUUCUAUAAUUUAUAUUUAUAAAAUAAAUUACUAUUCUUAUAAAAUUAUAUAUUCUUAUCGUAGUUAAAUCUAUGAUUUUAUAUAUAAGUUAGAUUAGUCGAAUCACUCAUGUUGUGAGUAUAUUGAGUUACUGUUAUUCUUUCAAAUUCAAAUGAAAUAUAAUUACUUUUUAUUAUAACCAAGUCAAAUCAAAUGAAUUUUAUUUAUUGUUUAAACGCACAUAUAUUUUCAUAGUAUAUAUCAAAUUAUAUGUUGAUGUUUUUUAAAAUAUAUUAUAAAAUAAAGUGAUGCUCAAUAGGAAGUUACAUAGAUAAGUAGGUGAUACAUUUUUUGAACCUCAUGAACACAUAUUAAUAUUUACAAUAAUUAAAAUAUUUUAUAAAUUGUAAAUAACUUUAUGCCUUUGAUUUAUUGAAUGGAAACUAAAAUUUUAUUUUCAAUAAUAUUAAAAAUGAGAAUUCAGAUUUGCUUUGGUAUUUUGAUUAUGGUUAUAUUAAGUUCCACAAACAUAAAAUUUAAAGGAAAAUUAUAUAUUAAGAAAACAAAUAACUUUAAUAAUGAUAAAAUAUAAUAUAUCUAUUUUGCAACAAUUUGAUCAAACGAUUUUUUUUAAUAUCUCUUAAAAAUAAACAGUAAAAAAAAUUGUGAUUUUAUUUGAAAAUAAUAUUAUAUAAGUAAAAUAUAAUUUAUCGAUAUUUUUUUGAUGUAAUUGGAAGAUAUUAUAGUCAGUAAAAUAUAUGAAAAAUAAAUAAAACACUUCAAUAAUACUAAUUAUAAACUAUUUUUAGUCAAUUAAACAUAUAUUAGUUUAUGUUUCUCAAUUAUUUUAUGCAAUCUUCAAAGAAAAUCGAUAGAUAUAUAAAAAUACUUCUAUUAGUUUGAAUUUUUUUGUAUUGUUUAAAAUUAUGUUUUAAAAGAAAUGUUAUUUCUUUUUCUAAUAUCAAGAUUAUCUGUGUAAAUUUUUCUUAAUGAAAUCACAUCAUAUACAAAUUUAUGCUUUUCAUCUAAGAAAAUAUAGAUAUAAAUAAAGUAUUUUAUUACUUCAAAAGUAUAUUUUAUGUUAUUUAAAAAUAUUUUUUAAAUGUAAUAUUACUAUUUUGUGAGCUUUCUUUUUUUUGAAAUCAUAUUAUAUAUACAUAUAUUUUCGUUAUCAAUUUGUUUUUUUUUUACCUUUAUAAAAAAAUUCUUUUUUUUAUUAUAGGUAUAUGCUUUUGGAAAAAAAUUAAAAGGAAACUAAAUAAAAAAAUAAAUAAUAGUAUUUAAUAUUUUUAAUUGAUUAAUGUUAUCAGUGUAAUCAACCAUCGUGAAAGUUAAUAUGAAAACUGACUUCUCAAAUAGUAUCAUAGAGAUUCUCAAUAUGAAAACUUCAAUUUCUUCUUAUAGAAACAAAUAUUUUAUUAAAGCAUAAUUGGUCAAACUGAAAAAGUAAAUUCAAAUAAAGGUGGUCCAAUUAUUCAACUUUUUGUGGAAGAUGUGUUGGAUCUCUGUGAGCCAAUUAAAAUCAUUAUUAAGCAGAGCAGGAGGCUUUCUACUCGGAUCUGCUCUAAACGCGCCGUCUCUAACCUCCUCCUCUUCAUCUCCCGCCGCCAUGGAAACUCACAAAACCAAGGUCUGCAUCGUCGGAAGCGGUCCCGCAGCGCACACGGCAGCGAUCUACGCAGCUAGAGCGGAGCUCAAGCCUCUCCUCUUCGAAGGAUGGAUGGCUAACGACAUCGCUCCCGGCGGUCAACUAACCACAACCACCGACGUCGAGAACUUCCCCGGCUUCCCCGAAGGCAUCCUCGGAAUCGACAUCGUGGAGAAGUUCCGUAAGCAAUCGGAGCGAUUCGGCACCAAGAUCUUCACCGAGACGGUUAAUAAGGUUGAUUUCUCCUCGAAGCCGUUUAAGCUGUUCACCGAUUCGAGAACCGUCCUCGCCGACGCCGUGAUCAUCUCCACGGGAGCUGUGGCGAAACGCCUCAGCUUCGCUGGAUCUGGUGAAGGCGCCGGUGGUUUCUGGAACCGAGGUAUCUCGGCGUGCGCCGUGUGCGACGGAGCUGCUCCGAUUUUUAGAAACAAGCCUCUGGUGGUUAUCGGCGGCGGCGAUUCGGCUAUGGAGGAGGCGAAUUUUCUGACUAAGUAUGGUUCUAAGGUUUAUAUAAUCCACAGGAGAGAUACGUUCAGAGCGUCUAAGAUUAUGCAGCAGAGAGCGUUGUCGAACCCUAAGAUUGAAGUGAUUUGGAACUCUUCGGUGGUGGAGGCGUACGGAGAUGAGAGUGGGAAAGGCGUUCUUGGGGGUUUGAAGGUGAAGAAUGUUGUUACUGGCGAUGUGUCUGAUUUGAAGGUGUCGGGAUUGUUCUUUGCGAUUGGGCAUGAGCCGGCGACGAAGUUCUUGGAUGGGCAGCUUGAGGUUGAUGAAGAUGGUUAUGUGGUGACGAAGCCUGGUACGACUAAGACGAGUGUGGUUGGUGUGUUUGCUGCUGGAGAUGUUCAAGAUAAGAAGUAUAGGCAGGCUAUUACAGCUGCAGGAACUGGUUCGUUCUUUGCUUCUCUUUUUACCCUUUGAAAUCAUUACUGAAAUGUAUCAUAGAAGCAGCAUCUGAUAUGCUGUGUGCGCUUGUUAUCUACUACCAUAAUGUAUUUAGUUGUUAGGUGUUGGAGAGUCAUUAGCUUUUUAUGAUGGGCUCUUUACGUUCUCAAAGUGACUUUUUGUAUAUCAUUUGAUUUACUUAACAAAGAGUAGGGUAGGCAUGAUUUGUGUUUCCUAUAGAAUGUUGGUCCUUUUUGGCGUUAGAAGCUUCUCUACUAUUCUCAUACAUUGAGAAGACACUGUAAUGGUCAUUAGCUGUUCUAGGUAGGAUGUCCUGAGAGCCUGCAGUUAUAAUUAGACUGUUUCAGGUAUCGAUAUAAAGUUCUUUAAUAUUGCUACAAGAAGAACCAGGCAUAUUUAGCUAUCUUCACUGCUGACGACCAAGUUGAAAUCAGAUUGUUUAGGGGGGGCCUAGGAUAAAUUGUAUUUCUGUCAGACCCAGUUUUUGGAUACCUUUUUAGACAGUGAUUUAUCUUUUUAAUUUCCACUUUCAUAAGCAACACUGAUCACAACUUACGGAUUGGUGCAGGGUGUAUGGCGGCCUUGGACGCAGAGCAUUACUUACAGGAGAUUGGAUCUCAGGAGGGAAAAAGUGAUUAGAUAAGGUGUCGGUGAAGGACCCAUUUAUAAGCUUCUCUCUAUUAUUUGCAGUGUCAUUUGCAGAACUGUCGAAAAGAUAAUCUUAAUGAGGGAGUAUGAGUAGUAGAGUUGUAAGCGUUUGCAGUUGAACUUGAUUCUGGAGUUUGUGCCAAGUUGUAACUCUUUAGUGGGUCACAGAUUUGAGCAAUCUGCUCUUCAUUUGUUCCUCAGGACCUCAUUUGUUCUUCAGUUUGAGUUGAACCGAUUGGAUUUGGAGUCUCUAUAGCUCAAUAAAACUAAAAUGGAUUUCUAGAAAUAUUGGUCAAUUAUUUAGAGAAAACGAUAAAAAUAAUAUUGUUUGUAAUCUACAACACUUCAAAUUUAAUUAUAACAUUUAGACAUAGUUUGCCUUUUUAUUGCAUUUCAAAAUUCAUAUUUUAAAAAUACUUGGGGGUUAUUGGUUGUUGUAUUUUAAUGGAUUUAAAAAUCCGAACUAAAUUUAGUGUUAUUGGUUCUAUGAUUUUUAGUUUUGUAUUAAAAUCAUGUGUUAUUGGUUUAAUGAUUCAUAAAUUAUAUAUUAAAUCAAAUAUUAUUCAGUCGUACAAAUUUACUAAUAAAUUUGAUUUUAUAAUGAAUUUGAAUGAGUUUUUUUGGAUUUUUUUUGUGAAAAAUACAAAGACUCAAAUCAGAAAAAAAUCUUCGGAUUUGUAAAUAUUAAUCCGAAUUUUUUUUAAAAAUCUGCAUAUUUUUUACUUGGAUUUAUAAAUAUUACAUGGAUUUCUAAAUCAAUCAAAAUAUAUAAACCGAUAACACAUAAAUAAUUAUUUCUUAUCAAAAUUAAAGAAGAUUAUUUUUAUUAUUAAACAAUUUACCUUAUCUUAAUAAUAUUUAUAUUUUGUAAAAGUUAUUUUAAAACAUAUAUCAUUAUUUUAAGACAUUUAUAAAAUAUUACUCCCUCCAAUUCAUACUACAGUAAAUGUCGUUGUAUACAAAAUAAUGGCAUUUUGAAUUUUGGUGCAAAAUUUAUUAAUUUUAAAUGUUGUAUGACUAUAUAUUCUACCGUUUAUUUUUCUAUUGAUUAAAAUAUAGUUAAGUGUAUAGUUAAUAAUUUUUUUAUUUAGAAAACAUAUGAAAUUAUAAAUUUUCUUAAUUUGUGUGCACAAAUUUAAAAUAAUUUUUCAGAAAAAUGUAAAUAUGAGAAGAUAAAGAGAGCGUCGAAAUCACGGUUGAUUAAGUUAUUUAGAUAACCCGCUUUGAUUUAGCUGGUUUUUGGACGGGUGAAUAUUAUCCAAGUUUAAUAUGCAAAAUAUUGAAUUUCUCAAUGAACCUCUUUUUAAUUUUUAAAAUAAAGAAACUCAAAGUUCAUAAUAUAAGAGGACAUUUGAGAUCUUUUAUUUUCGAUUUAUGGAAAGAUCAUUUCUGAUUUAGAAUUCUCUAUUUGGCUUAGGCAUUCGGAUUUGGUUUGGUUAAUUCAAAAUUUCAGUUUUUGGUAUUAUAUUUAUAAGUCUUAUAUGGAUUUUACUAACUUGUGGAUGGGGUUCGGUUCAAUAUUUUUUCAGUUUAUAAACAGUAUUUGAAAUCGUAAACUAAAAAAAUAUUCAAAAUAACAAAUAAAAAAUAUCAAAAUCUUUAAAAUAUUCGAAAAUAUCUAAAUUAGUUUAACAUAUAUAAAAAUAAUACGUUUAAUUAAUUUCAAAUAUUUUUAGAUUAUUUUAGUUCAAUUCAUAGCUCUUAAGACCCGUUCCAAUAAUUUUCUGUAACGAUUCCUAUGAGAUUUCAUGGUUCGGGUUAAGGUCGGGACAACCGUUUAGGGUAAACUAAAAACUCACAGGCCUAAGCAGAGCGAGCAGGAGGAGAGGCUUUCUACUCGGAUCUGCUCUCUCCACGCCGUCAUGGAAACUCACAAAGCCAAGGUCUGCAUCGUCGGAAGCGGUCCCGCAGCCCACACAGCAGCGAUCUACGCAGCUAGAGCCGAGCUCACGCCUAUCCUCUUCGAAGGAUGGAUGGCCAACGACAUCGCCCCCGGCGGUCAAUUAACCACCACCACCGACGUCGAAAACUUCCCCGGCUUCCCCGACGGUAUCCUCGGCAUCGACCUCGUCGCGAAGUUCCGUAAGCAAUCGGAGCGAUUCGGCGCCAAGAUCUUCACGGAGACUGUCAACAAAGUCGAUUUCUCCUCGAAGCCGUUUAAGCUUUUCACCAAUACGAGAACCGUCCUCGCCGAGGCCGUGAUCGUCUCCACGGGAGCCGUGGCGAAGCGCCUCAGCUUCCCUGGAUCUGGUGAAGGCGCUGGUGGUUUCUGGAACAGAGGUAUCUCGGCGUGCGCCGUGUGCGACGGAGCUGCUCCGAUUUUUAGGGACAAGCCUCUGGUGGUUAUCGGCGGCGGCGAUUCGGCUAUGGAGGAGGCGAAUUUUCUGACUAGGUAUGGUUCUAAGGUUUAUAUAAUCCACAGGAGAGACAAGUUCAGGGCGUCUAAGAUCAUGCAGAAGAGAGCGUUGUCGAACCCUAAGAUUGAAGUGAUUUUGAACGGUUCGGUGGUUGAGGCGUAUGGAGAUGAGAGUGGGAAAGGCGUUCUUGGGGGUUUGAAGGUGAAGAAUGUUGUUAAUGGUGCUGUGUCUGAUUUGAAGGCUUCUGGAUUGUUCUUUGCGAUUGGGCAUGAGCCAGCGACGAAGUUCUUGGAUGGGCAGGUUGAGCUUGAUGAAGAUGGUUAUGUGGUGACUAAACCUGGUACUACUAAGACUAGCGUGGCUGGUGUGUUUGCUGCUGGUGAUGUUCAAGAUAAGAAGUACAGGCAGGCCGUCACAGCUGCAGGAACUGGUAUGAGUUAGCGUUUAGAAAUCAAGAAUGCUGUGUGCUUGUUAUAUCCUAACAUAAUGUUCUAAGUAGUAUUUGGUACUUAGGUGUUUGAAUGUCAUUAGCUUUUUCUCUGAUGUGCCAUGUCAUGUUCUCCUUGUAUCGUUUCACUUAACAAAAUGGUUUUGUGUUUGCUAAAGAGUGGUCCUUUGUUGUGCCUCUUUACUUUCUUUCUAAUACUCUGUUAGAAGAAACUUUAAUGGUCAUUGAUUAUUCUAGGUGGGAUAUCUUGAGAGCCUGCAAGUUAAAUUAGACUGUUUCAGUACCGGUUUAAUGUUCUCUUCUAGAAAAAGAAGCAGACGUAUUUAGCAAUUUUCACCGCUGAUGACUAAGUUGAAAUCAGAUUGUUCUCGGUGGUCUAAGUUGAUUGUGUGUCUCCGUCAAAACCCAGUUUUCAUACCUUUCUAGACAGUGAUUACCUUCAAGUGUAAUGUUUUUCAUUUCAGCUUUCACAAGAAACUCUGAUCACAACUUAUUGAUGGUGCAGGGUGCAUGGCCGCCUUGGAUGCAGAGCAUUACUUACAGGAGAUUGGAUCUCAAGAAGGUAAGAGUGAUUAGAGAAAGUGUAGAAAAAGAACCAAUUUAUAAGUUGUUCUCUCUCUCUCUUCCCCUUAUUUGCUGUUUGAUUUGAAGAACCGUCAAAAAGAUGAUAUUGAUGAGGGAGUUUUGUUAUGUGCGUUUGCAGUUGAACUUGGUCAAGUUGUAAGAGCAACUCCACUCACGGUAUAUAAUGAAGUAUCUAGGAGUACUCCAGUCACGGUAUAUAAUGAAGUAUCUACGAGUACUCCACUCACGGUAUAUAAUGGAGCAUCUACGAGUACUCCAUUCACCGUAAAUAAUGGAGAAUCUACGGUUAGAAGGUAACAAAAAUAAAUGAAAAAAAAUUAAAAUUUUAAAUGAUAUUUUUUUGUCGAAAAUACAAUACGCAAUGUGAUAAAUAUGGGUGGAGAAGACAAUCCAAACCAAACUAAGAUCACAACCAUUGAUUGUAGGGAAAGAUACAAGUGGAGCCCAGCUGAAGAUGUUGUUCUUAUCAAUGCGUGGUUAAAUACAGACAAAGAUAUAAUUGUGGCUAUUGAUCAAAGAGCUUCUUCUUUUUGGAAAAGAAUUGCUGCAUAUUAUUCAUCAAGUCCUGCCGCUGCAAGUCUACCAAAGCGAGAAAGCAGUCACUGUAAGCAAAGGUGGCAGAAAAUAAAUGAUAGUGUUCACAAGUUUGUUGAAUGCUAUGAUCAUGCUUUGAGACAAAGAACUAGUGGCCAGUCUGAAGAUGAUGUUGUCCAAGUUGCAUACCAAUUCUACUUCGACGAUUGCAAAAAGAGAUUCACGCUUGAACAUGGAUGGAGGAAGCUCCGUCAUAGUCAAAAAUGGUAUAGUUACAUCUCUAAAUGUUCUAAGAGUAAUGGAAGUUCAAAACGAGCAAAAUUGGAUGAAGGGGGCACAUUUUCUUCAAGCUCUAAUACAAAAAGUAACGUAGAGGAACAAGCUAUGGCCCAUCCUAUUGGUGUGAAGUCAUCAAAGGGCGAAGGGGAGAAUCUUGUUACUAAAGCAACAAAUGAAGAGAAUGUUGCUACUAAAACAACAAAUGAAGAGAAUGUUGCUACUAAAACAACAAAUGACGAAAGGGAGUCCAACUCCCGAUCGAGGCUCGAGAACUUGUGGGCUCUAAAUGAGAGAGAUAUAGCUGAGAGAAAUAAACUAUCAAGGAUAGAGCUGCUUAGAAGCCUUCUGGGAAAAACAGAAAAACUUUCAGAAAAAGAAGAAACUUUGAAGAACAAACUCAUCGAUGAAAUGUUGUAAUAUCGUGUAACUUAUAUAUAUUGUAAUAAUAUGCUGUAGGUAAGCUAAUAUAUUAGCGUGCAAGACUUCCUCUUGAUCAUUAUCUCCAUCUUUGUAAUACAACACUUUCUAAGGUCGAAGUAAGCAAACUUCUUCAAAUUUUCAAAAAUAAUAAGUAGAAGAAUAAUCCCUAUAAGAAUUUGAAAGUUUUGCUCAAAAUAAAUAAGUAAAGAAUUAAAAAAAAAAUGUAUGCUAAAUGAUGCUCUGCAAAGGAACAAUUCAUAUACAUCUAAAGGGUGAGCAUUUGGGCAAGUAAAUUCCAGACUCUACAACUACAAAUAUGCCUACUAAUAUGGGCAAUGUUUUCAGUUCAGGUUCUUUUUUCAUUUCACCUUUCAUAAUAAAUGUAUGCUAAAUGAUACUCUGCAAAAGAACAAUUCAUAUAAAUCUAAAGGGUGAGCUUUUGCACAAGUGAAUUACAGACUCUACAAAUAUGCCUACUAAUAUAGACAAUAUUUUCGGCAAUCAAAUUUGACUUCAUGAUGAAAAUAGACGUCAUCAGUUAAAGAUUAAGGCUUACUUAAUUAUAAUUUGGAUUAUGGUUUAAUAUUUUGUUCUACCAUUUUUAGUUUUAUUUUUAUAAGUUUUUUCUCUAAUUUAUGUUAUUAAUUUUAAAAUUAUAACUCUUUUAUUAUAUUAUAUAAAAAAUUGCUUUAUUAUUUUAAACAUAAAUUAUUCUUAUUUAUUUUAUUAUCGGGCUUAUGACAGAUGAGAAAAAUAAAAAAAAAUUAACAGAUACAGUUAAAUAAAUUUCAAAUAUAAUUUUAUAUGUUUAAAUGUUUCUUAGAUUUUUUUAAUUAAGAUAAGUUUUAAAAAUUAUUUUUCAUAAACUAAAUUACAAUAAAAUUAAAAUAAGAUAUAAUAAUAUUAUAGUAAUAAGAUACUAUUUUACCAUUGGAGCUAACAAUUUUGGUAUAGUUUCUUAACUUAAAUUUUAUUAGAACAAAAUAGUAUUAUAUUAAUGAGAUAUAUAGUGAAUAUCUUCCUAAAAAGGUUAUUCUAAUUCUUUGGUGGUCAGACCUUUGAUCACAUUGCUCUUGAAUUGUUUCUCAUUUGAGGAUUUUUGAUUUUAUCUGAUUAUGCAAUUUCAGUUUAAAUUAAUCCGAAUGGAUUCGAGUCUCUAUAGCUCAAUAAAACUAAAAUGGGUUUCUCGUUAUAUUGGUUGGUUAAUUCAUAGUUCUAUACAAUUCUCAGUUGAAUAUUGCAUAGUAACUUCCACUAAUUAAAUGGGAUAAGUUACAAAACUAAACUACACACUUGUUUCUUCGUCAACACUGAACUGUUUAAUUUUCUGAUUCAUGAUAUUUAACGUUUUAAAUGACCAAAGAAUAUAUAAAACAUAUACGUGUACUGUGGUUAUUAACCUCUCAAUAAAUACAACUUCAGUUGUACAAAAAAGUACUAACAUAAGUUUUUUAAACUCUACAUUAGUUUUUUUCUUUUUGAAACUUAAACUCUACGUUAGUUGUGUCUUCCUUCUUUCUACCUCUCCUUUUCACUCAUGAUCACAACAAGCAAGAGUCAGAGAUAUUUGUUACGGUUUCUUGUGCUCCACGGUGGAGCUACGGCCGCGGCAGCUCCCUCCAGCGAGAAAACGCUCUCUCAGACACCCACUUGGGCCGUUGCGGUCGUCUGCACAUUUCUCAUCAUCAUUUCCCAUCUCCUUGAGAAGGGUCUUCAUAGACUCGGCAAUGUCCGUCUUCAUUCUUCUUCUUAAGUGUUCUUGUUCAAACACUCAAUGUCUGAACCAUCUUUCUUUGUUUCUUCGCAGUGGUUAUGGAAAAAGCAGAAAAACUCUCUGCUUGAAGCCUUAGAGAAAAUCAAAGCUGGUUAGUUAGUAAUGAUUGAUAUUAUGACAAAGCUUGAAUUGGUUUUUCAAGAAAUUUUUUUAAAAAUGGUGAUUGAUUAAUCUGCAGAGCUGAUGAUUCUUGGAUUCAUUUCUUUAUUACUCACCUUUGGAGAAACAUACAUUCUCAAGAUUUGUGUUCCUUCGAAAGCUGCUCUCUCUAUGUUACCAUGUCCAUCUGAAAAGACGAACACUCUGGCUCCGUCUCUUAGCAAACAUCUUUUGGCUGCUGGUGAUUUAUCUGUGAACUGCAAAAAUGGAUCUGAGCCACUAAUAACUUUGAAAGGGUUGCACCAACUUCACAUCUUGUUGUUCUUCUUGGCCAUUUUUCAUGUUCUUUAUAGUUUAAUAACCAUGAUGCUUAGUAGGCUUCAGGUAUGAAGAAUCUAUUUUUCACCAACAUAUCGAUGUUUGAUGGAGUUAAUAAUGAUGGCUUCAUUUUUGUGUUGGCUACCUUGCAGAUUCGUGGAUGGAAAAAGUGGGAGCAAGAGACAUUAUCUCAUGAUUAUGAGCUUUGUAUUGGUAAGUUCUGUUCAAAUCCCUGAGAUUUGUCUUUUUUUUUUUUUUUUUUUUUGUCUUUAAUACUUUCUUUGGCUGUGGGAGCAGAUCAAACAAGACUUAGGCUCACUCAUGAGACUUCUUUUGUGAAAUUGCAUACAAGUUUCUGGACAGCAAUUCCUUUCUUCUUUUACGUCGUAAAGAAACUAUUUCUUCUUUCUCUUCCAAUUCCAUCAAACGUGUUCUUGAUUUUUGAUUUUGAAUAUUUUGAGCUCUUUGCAGGGGUGCUUCUUCAGGCAGUUCUUUGUAUCUGUGGGAAGAACAGAUUACUUGACCCUGCGCCACGGAUUCAUCUCUGUGAGUUUCAAAAUCUUCCACCUUCCCCUUUUCUUUAUUGUUGCAAUCUUGAUGUGUGAAUCUUGUGGUCUGAUCAGGCUCAUUUAGCUCCGGGAAUGAAGUUCAACUUCCAGAGAUAUAUCAAAAGAUCUCUUGAGGAUGAUUUCAAGUUAGUAGUUGGAAUAAGGUACAACACAAUCCAUAAACAUAAUAUGCAAAUGAAAUUAUUUUGGUUGAUCUUCUAUUAUUGUUUUCUUAAUAUAUUUUUUUUUUUGUUUUGCUCCGCAGUCCAGUUCUUUGGGCAUCAUUUGUGAUAUUCUUGCUGUUUAAUGUUAAUGGUGAGCUACACAUCUGUCUAUAUAUUUUUUUCAUAUUCAUUUCAUAUACUGAAGUGUACCUAUUCAAUUUCCAGGAUGGAGAACAUUGUUUUGGGCAUCAAUACCUCCUGUGCUAGUAAGACUAUCCCUCUCUCUAUUUAUGCUAAACCUGCUAUGGAGUAAGUUCUUUUGUCUCAAUAUAAGAAGUCUUGUAACAGAUAAUUUUAGCUGUUGGAACAAAGCUUCAAGCGAUUUUGGCAACAAUGGCGCUAGAAAUAGUAGAGACACAUGUAGUAGUACAAGGGAUGCCUCUAGUGCAAGGUGCAGAUCGAUACUUUUGGUUGGAUUGCCCUCAACUGCUUCUUCAUCUUAUUCACUUUUCCUUGUUUCAGGUAAUAACACUAAGAAAACCAUGUCCUUAGCAUCUUUGUUCUUCUAUUAUGUUACUGUAUAAUUAAUAUAUGUUUCCUGUGGUCUGCAGAAUGCUUUCCAGAUAACACACUUCUUCUGGAUAUGGGUAACAAAAACAAGAAGCACCUCCUUUUAAUUUAAAUAUUUUGGAAUUAUUACUGAAUAACAUACAUAUAAUAUUAACCUUGGGGCUUGCAGUAUUCUUUUGGAUUAAAAUCAUGCUUCCAUAAAGAUUUCAACCUUGUAGUCAUAAAACUCUUUUUAUGGUAAAACGCUCAUUCAAACCCUUAAAAAUUAUGUUUCUUACAAUAGAAAUCUUUUAUUUAAAAACAUGUGAGGAUGUAUGUAUAUGCAGCCUCGGGGCUUUGAUCUUAUGCAGCUACAUAACUCUCCCUUUGUACGCCCUGGUGACUCAGGUUAUUUCUAAACAAAAGUUUUUCGAUAUUCUAGUCAUGUGACCUCCUAAUGAGAGUAGUCUUGAAUGUGAAACGAUGAAAUCUUGUGUUGAUGUGUGAGCAGAUGGGUUCACACAUGAAGAAAGCAGCGUUUGAUGAACAAAUGGCAAAGGCAUUGAAGAAGUGGCACAAAAAUAUCAAAAUGAAGAAAGGAAAAGCAAAGAAGCUCCUGAGCAAAACACUUGGUGGUUCGGGGAGUUUCAGCAUCUCCCCCUCUUCCUCUGGAACCACUCUACAUCGUUCCAAAACCACUGGUCACUCUUCUAACGCCAUAUACUACAAACAAGAAGAAGAACACGACGAGAUGUCUGAUCUUGAAGCUGGUGCAGAGGAUGCCACUGAAAGGUUUCAAGAGCAGCAUAAGCCAUUCCAUCAUUCUUAGCUGUUUUUAGUGUACUCUUAUUACUUAAAGGUUGAGAUGUUGUGAGAAAACAAUGUUUCUACUGAUUAGCCAACAAUAGACUUAUUUAUUUUAACUUAACUACAGACGACAGAUUAUAUUUAACCUUAGCACUAUAUAGUGUGACCACUGGUAUGAGUGGUGAAUUCACUCUAUCUCUGGCUCGUAAUAGUAGCUCCCAGGCCGAUACAUCAAGAAGUCUUUUAGGAAAUUUACCCUUAGUUAGGUAUUGUUUCUUUAUUAAUGAUCUGGUUAGUUUACAUUACUUCAUAGCUUAUACACUUGACUACUAGGAAAUAAGGCUUCUCCUUCCUUUCCCAAAGCUUUUAACUUUUAUAUGAUCUCUAAAACACUCCUUAACAUUGCUAGUUUUCACUAACUAGUUAUUAAAUUGAUAAUUCGUUUCAAGAAAGGAAACAAAUGAUACUUUUGCACAUAUUUUCUUGGAACCGUAGUAAAUAAAUACAUUAUGAAAUAUAAAACGCAUUUGUUUAUCAGGUUAUGGAAAGAACAAAGAGAAAAAUACAGAGUAAACAAAACAUGAAUUUGCUUACAGAAAAAAAAAAUUAAAAAACAAUAAGAAUAUCCAUAAGAAUCGGAGAAAGUGGAAAGAACGUGAGACACUGACAUACGCCGAGUCUAUAGAUAACUGAUUAAGAAGAGCCAUUAUUAAAAUCUCAAACUCCUCAUAAUAUUAUUUCUUCAUAUGUUACACGAUCAUUUUAAUAUAUUAAUUACAGUUCACGUCAAAUCUUUAAAGAUUACUAAUAUCUUUUAAAUUAUUAAUUUGCAGGUCGAGAGAGAAGAAGAAACGAAGAAUGAGAAGACGAAAGAGAAAACAGCUGUCAUCAUCAUUGUUUGAGCCUAUACAAGAACCGUUGUGAAAAUCAUCUUCUUCAUUGGUGAUGAUGAAUCAGGUGGUGGAAGAGAUCAUGAGCAUCCACAGAUCCUUACCUCCUAGACCAGACAUCGACGACGUCGAAGCCGCGACUUCUCUCAUACAGAACGUCGAAAACGACGAUCAGAGCCGCUUGGACGCCGUCGAUAGAGAGAUCAAAAGCUCCGGCGUUCCUCAGGAGCUUUUCGACGUGUUGCAGGAGAUGAGGAGAGGCCUCGUUCGUUUCCAGAGUAAAGAGCAGAAGAGAGAGGCCGCGAAAGUGCUCGAUCUCGAAUCUGCACACGUUGUGUUCGACGAAUUGAUUCAGAGAGCUUAUGCGAAUCUCUCUCGGCCUCCGCUAGCGCCGGUUGUUUCUCCGGCGAGUUUGUAUUGUUCUGAUGAGGCUCAUGUCAAGUCCAAGGACAUGUUCACGCGCGACGAUACGUUUGUUAACAAGGUCAAAUCUUCGCUCUAUAGUGACGGUUUCUUAGCUCCUCGCAAGCCUCAGGUUUUGGAUUCAACAACACUUCAGGCUAAGAACCUCACUGGUGAGAUAGAAUCUGAAUGAUGUGUUAUAGUGUUUACAUGUGAUUAGUUUAAUAACUGUAUUGGAAUGAUUGUGUGUAGGCCAUGAUGGGGAGAAGCUGAGUCUCAUAAAGCUUGCAACUUUGAUUGAAGUGUCCGCCAAGAAAGCUACUCAGGAGCUGAACCUGCAGCACAAGCUGAUGGAUAAUCUCGAGUGGCUUCCUGAUUCUCUAGGAAAGUUAUCGAGUCUCGUUAGGCUGGAUCUGUCUGAGAAUUGCAUCAUGGCGCUACCAGCGACCAUAGGAGGGCUUUUGUCCUUGACGAGGCUCGAUUUGCAGUCGAAUAGAAUCGGUCAGCUUCCUGAGUCUAUAGGAGAUUUGAUGAACUUGGUCAACCUGAAUCUUAGUGGAAACCAGUUGACGUCUCUACCAUCGUCUCUGAGUAGAUUGGUUAAUCUCGAGGAGCUUGAUUUGAGCUCUAAUAGCCUCUCUGUUCUCCCUGAGACCAUUGGUUCUAUCGUGAGCCUCGAGAAGCUCGACGUUGAAACAAACAAUAUCGAGGAGAUUCCUCAUAGUAUCUCGGGUUGUUCUUCCUUGAAAGAGCUCCGUGCAGAUUACAACAGGCUUAAAGCUCUUCCGGAAGCUGUUGGGAAGAUAACUACUUUGGAGAUUUUGAGUGUCCGUUACAAUAACAUUCGGCAGUUGCCUACGACAAUGUCCUCCAUGGCUAACCUCAAAGAGCUUGAUGUGAGUUUCAACGAGCUUGAGUCUGUACCAGAGAGCUUGUGUUACGCUACAACGCUUGUUAAGCUGAACAUUGGGAACAAUUUUGCCAACCUGAGAUCACUCCCGGGGUUGAUAGGCAACCUUGAGAAGCUGGAAGAGCUUGAUAUGAGCAAUAACCAGAUCCGUUACCUUCCUUACUCUUUCAAAGCGCUUUCACAGCUGCGUGUUCUUCACACACAGCAAAAUCCACUUGAAGAGCUUCCAAGGGAUAUAAUCAAAAAGGGGGCUCAGGUUAUUACUUAUCUAUGUUUAGUGUUUUGUCCUGUCUUUGCUUGUAUGGAUGAUUGAUUGUAUUAUUGUUUGGCUUCAUCCUCUCAGGCCGUGGUUCAGUACAUGAAUGAUCUAGUGGAGGCAAGAAACACCAAAUGUCAAAGAACUAAGCAGAAUAAGAGUUGGGUCGUCAGAAUCUGCUUCCUCUGCAAGUCCACCAACUAGAGAACACGGAGCCACUCUUGAACAAAAUCUGACUUCGAUUUCAUUCUUACAACUCCUGAAGUCCAAUCAAAGAUUCCAAUUGUAUACUUUGUAUUUGUUCAUACCUGACUUGAUCCUGAGGAAAAUGUAAUUCAAUUUCGUAAUGUCAAAUUGUUUAUAUUCUUGUUUCUCUUGUUGUAACUUUUUUUAUUUUUGAAGGGCUUACUUCUCCUGUUGUAACUUUCUUCUUUUUGAAUGCUGAAUUGAAUUGUAAUUCAAUGCUUGUUUCUUCUUCUUUUAAUGUGUAGCAAAACAUGUACUGGGAGUCUGGGAUAUCCGAAUCAAAACACGUUUCCACAGGCUCUGCUCUUUUUUUUUCUGUUUUAACCUGUUAAAAAGUUUACUGAGGAGAACAUAAGUGGCCGAGCAAAUUAUUGAGCAAUAUAUUUGUCAUCUUUUUUUUUUCUGUUUUAACCUGUUAAAAAGUUUACUGAGAACAUAAGCGGCCGAGCAAAUUAUUGAGCAACAUAUUUGUCAUCUAUUUCAUUUUAUUGACAAGUUUUUAUUCAUAGCCAGCCGUGGGUGAACACUAAAAAUAAUUCAAUUGAUAGAUACUCUAUUAAUACUUUACCAAUAAAUACUCAAAAAAAUAGAAAAGGUCGAAAAGUUUUCAAAUAAGUUACCUUAAAAUAUUCAAUUAUCAUGUGUCUGUGGACAGAAAAUAUCAAAGUAUUAUACAACAAGUAAAUAAAUACUCAAAAUUUGAAACAAUUAUAUAUUAUACAUUAUAUUUAAUUUUUGGUUAAAUCUGUAGACAAUUAGCAAUGAGAAUGUUGAAUUUUUCCAACAUUAUGAAACACAUAUGGAUUACAUUAAGAUGUUGAAUUUUAAAUGAUAUAAUGAAGCUGUUGAAUUUUAUUAAAAACACAUAUGGAUUACAUUAAGUUGAAUGUUUUCAACAGGUUGAAAGAACUGAAAUGGGUUCAAGGCUACAAUUUUUAUUUCCUCCAAAUUAUAAAUUUCAAUUAUUUUGUAGUAAAAUAUUUUUCAAAAAAAUAAAAGUUAUACCAGAAUUCAGUAUUUUAUAGACAUAUAGAUAAAAACUAAUCUCAUUUUAUUUAGAUACCAAAAAUUCAUAUUUACUAUACUUUCUUUUAUUAACUUCUAAUCAACUCUUUUGUGUAUUUUAAUUUACUUUUUUUGUCAAAUGGAUCCUAUUAAUAAUUGUGACAAAAAAGGAUCCUAUUAAUAAUUUUAUUAACAUUCAAAAAUUUUGUAUCUUUCAUUUUAACAACGAAAAUUUUAAUAAUUAUCAGUUUCACAACUAAACUAAGUAAAAAGUAAAAAUAACUAAAAAAUAAGCAAAAUAUAAUUUUUUUUUGGGAAAUAUAAUAUUAAAGUGAAAAUAUUGUCUUUUAUGUAGUAAGAAAUGGAAAAUUAGAAUUCAUCUAAUGAAAUAAAUACUCAAACGUUAAGAAAAUGUGUUAGAAAAAAUUGAAAAAAACAGUGAUGACAAUUCACAAUCUCAAACUUAAGCUUCAUAUGACACUAUUAAAUUUUCUAAACUAUGAAAUCUGAUAGUUUCCAUAUGUAUGUAUUUAUAUAAGAAAAUAUUUUACUUAAAAUGUAGCACGUGCCAUACCUCUUUCAAGUACAAGUCUGCCCAGGUUUGAUAUUGUAGAAAGAUUGAAGUUGUUGUAAAAAAAUUGUGUUAUGUUUCAGUCUAAAAAGAUUAAAUUGGGCAAGCCGGGCAUAGACAUCCUAAGCCAAGAUCUAAACCCACCAUUUUGCCCAACGGUGUAUCGCACGUUACACCACCAUCCCAGUUACAAGAGUUGGUGCCAGGGACGGAACUAUUAACACCAUAAGGGGGUCAGCUGACCCCAUUAAAAUUUAUAAUUUAUUCACUAAAUAUAAUAAUUUUCUUCAAGCGAUGCCCUAAUAAAUAUGUGUCUGACCCCGUUUCCAUUUUUUACUUCGGCGUUUCCUGAAGAAAGACUUUCUCUUUCAUGAAAAAGGGAACAAUAGUAAUUUUAGACAUCUACUUAAUUUCUGUUUUUAUGUAUAGUAUUAAUCAAUUAUAUUAAAAUUAAAGUACAAAAUAAUAUUUUUUUUAAAAAAAUUUAAGUGGUUUUCUACAGAUUUUCAUUCAUUUUUAAUUAAUCCUACCUACUUCAUCUAUUGUCUUAUCUAAUUAAUUCAUCAGUAUUUAUUACAAAGUACUCCUAUAAAACAUAACUUACCUAUUUUUUCAUUCUUUUUAACUACUUCAUUAAUUAUAUUUAUUAUAAUAAUUUGACAUCAUUUAUUUUUCAUAUUCACAAUAAUAAUUUCACAAAUUUAAAUGGAAUUGUUUCAUUCGUAAUAAAAAUUCAAAGCAACUUUUUAACUGGCUUCUUAACUAUUUAUAUUUUGUACUCUGUAAUAAAUGACUUCGUAUUAUUUGAAAAAAAACAAUAAAUAAAAUAAUUUAAAUUAGUUAAAAAAGGAAGAUGUACGAAAUCACUUAAAAUUAAAUAAUGUUUUGUAUUUCAGUUUUAAUAGAAUAGAUUAACAAUUUAUUUGUCUAAGUAUUAGAAUUGCUAUAUGUAAUUGACAAACAAUAUUGAAUUUAGUUUCUCAUCAUUACUUAUACAUAGUAUACUAUAUAUUUUUAUAUUGUUUCCAUUUCAACAACAAUCAAAAGUAUGUAUUCCAUAUAUAAUAUUUUAUAAUUUUACACAUAUCGGCACAUACGUGCACAACAAUGUUAAUUAAUGUUAUUAUAAACAUUUAACUAUACUAAAGUAUAAAUUUUACUGGAAUAGUUUUUUUUUUUUAAACACUAAUUAUAUUAACCAACAGAGAUUACAGGAGUGGAGUACAGUUUAGGUUACAUUUGCCGGCAGGUUUAUAAAAAACCUCCAGAGUCCAAGGCUCCAACAACGGAGAAGCUAAGCCCAAACAUGGGAAUUAAAGACAAGAACAUGAACCAUCCUUAAUACUAACCGAUCUAAAAUAGAAGAAGUGAGGAACCAAACAAAAUAACCUUUACAAAACAGUGAACAAUAAAGCACGAUGACUUCAAAUGAACCCCUUUGAACGAGACAAGGCGAGGAUGCUAUCCAAAGCUAAAACCUCCGGCUUGUGACUCCUCCUAUAGAGAAUAGCCCAUGCGAUUAAGAGACCAGUUCUUCAAGCUUUCAAGAUCCAGGAGACAGAACAAUUUCAGUUCUUAAGUCUACCACCGGGAAUGGGUUGACGGAGAUAGAACAUCACGAGACGUCGAGAUGAAGUAAGACGAGAGAUAAGAACUCGAUCAAAUCUUUUGGUAAAUGACAAGGAGCGAGACAACUCAUAAAUGGGUUCAGCCAUUCUCGAGAGAUCAAGAAGGACGAAGAUCGAGACCCAAAAUGAGCCAAAGAGAGUUCAAAGCCAACAUGCAAAUCAUUUAACCCAAAAACAGGUUCAUAAUGCGACCAAAAAGAAGGGAAACAGAACCCAACUCACUUCAACUAGAUCGAUCAAUAUCACACACAGAGAACGACAUGCAAGCUCUCAUCCCCGGUAAGGAUAAGAUCUAGAUCUAAAAUCCAACCAAAGAGAAAAACGAGAACAAGACAUGAAGAUCUAAACUGAUUGAAACCAAAAAGGAUGGUUCAAAGAAACUAAACCCGACUCCGGCUCUGAGAGAGCAACCGGAGUCGGAGAGCAAGCUUCAACAAUGGAGGAUUGAUGAGAGAAGGCAGAGUAUUUUUGAAGAGAGAGAAAGAGGACUACUGGAAUAGUUUUAUACGACUUUUAUUAGAAAAAUUUAUUAAUACAAAAUUGCACACUGAAAUUAUU
rnacentral:lncRNA from 1 species